GAUCAGAAUGCUGCGGUGAAUGCGUUCCCGGGUCUUGUACACACCGCCCGUCACACCACGGAAGUUGGAAACACCCGAAGCCGAUUAUCUAACCCUUGGGAGGAAGUCGUCGAAGGUGGCAUCAAUAACUGGGGUGAAGUCGUAACAAGGUAGCCGUAUCGGAAGGUGCGGCUGGAUCACCUCCUUU
rnacentral:rRNA from 1 species